rnacentral:tRNA from 1 species
GCCUUUGAAGCUCUUGGAGCGUUAGUUUUGUAAGCUAGAGUUUAAGAUAUUGUUCUUCUUAGGUU